GCGGAAGGAUCAUUACAACAAGGUUCCCUGGCCCUCGAAGCUUCGGCGGAGGGGGCUACAGCCUGACUUUAUACCCACCCUUUGCCUAUGUGUACCCCUAUUGCUUCCCUCGGCGGGUUCGCCCGCCGACAGGAACCAACUAAACCCUUUGCAUUAUACAUUUAACACUUCCGAUACAAAACUAAAUUAUUACAACUUUUAACAAUGGAUCUCUUGGUUCUGGCAUCGAUGAAGAACGCAGCGAAAUGCGAUAAGUAGUGUGAAUUGCAGAAUUCAGUGAAUCAUCGAAUCUUUGAACGCACAUUGCGCCCCUCGGUAUUCCGUGGGGCAUGCCUGUUCGAGCGUCAUUUACACCCUCAAGCUAUGCUUGGUGUUGGGCGUCUGUCCCGCCUUCGUGCGCGGACUCGCCUCAAAGUCAUUGGCAGCGGUCUCGUCGGCUUCUCGCGCAGCACAUUUGCGCUUCUCGGAGCCCCGGCGGAUCAGCGUCCAAGCAAGCGAUUUCAUGACUUGACCUCGGAUCAGGUAGGGAUACCCGCUGAA
rnacentral:rRNA from 1 species